rnacentral:rRNA from 1 species
GCAGUCGAACGGUAACAGGCCGCAAGGUGCUGACGAGUGGCGAACGGGUGAGUAAUGCAUCGGAACGUGCCCAGUCGUGGGGGAUAACUGCUCGAAAGAGCAGCUAAUACCGCAUACGAUCUAUGGAUGAAAGCGGGGGACCGUAAGGCCUCGCGCGAUUGGAGCGGCCGAUGUCAGAUUAGGUAGUUGGUGGGGUAAAGGCUCACCAAGCCAACGAUCUGUAGCUGGUCUGAGAGGACGACCAGCCACACUGGGACUGAGACACGGCCCAGACUCCUACGGGAGGCAGCAGUGGGGAAUUUUGGACAAUGGGCGCAAGCCUGAUCCAGCAAUGCCGCGUGCAGGAAGAAGGCCUUCGGGUUGUAAACUGCUUUUGUACGGAACGAAACGGUCUGGGUUAAUACCCUGGGCUAAUGACGGUACCGUAAGAAUAAGCACCGGCUAACUACGUGCCAGCAGCCGCGGUAAUACGUAGGGUGCGAGCGUUAAUCGGAAUUACUGGGCGUAAAGCGUGCGCAGGCGGUGAUGUAAGACAGUCGUGAAAUCCCCGGGCUCAACCUGGGAAUUGCGAUUGUGACUGCAUCGCUGGAGUGCGGCAGAGGGGGAUGGAAUUCCGCGUGUAGCAGUGAAAUGCGUAGAUAUGC